CCAAUAGCGUAUAUUAAAGUUGUUGCAGUUAAAAAGCUCGUAGUUGAAUUUCGGGAUCAGUACGCUGGUCGUGCCUUCGGUAUGUACUGGUGUUACUGGUUCCUACCUUCUGACGAACCGUCAUGUCAUUAAUUUGGUGUGGCGGGGAAUCAGGACUGUUACUUUGAAAAAAUUAGAGUGUUUAAAGCAGGCUCGCGCUUGAAUACAUUAGCAUGGAAUAAUGAAAUAGGACGUUCGAUCCUAUUUUGUUGGUUUCUAGGAUUGACGUAAUGAUUAAUAGGGAUAGUUGGGGGCAUUAGUAUUCAAUUGUCAGAGGUGAAAUUCUUGGAUUUAUUGAAGACUAACUACUGCGAAAGCAUUUGCCAAGGAUGUUUUCAUUAAUCAAGAACGAAAGUUAGGGGAUCGAAGACGAUCAGAUACCGUCGCAGUCUUAACCAUAAACUAUGCCGACUAGGGAUCGGAUGAUGUUAAUUUUUUAAUGACUCAUUCGGCGCCUUACG
rnacentral:rRNA from 1 species